AUGAGAAAUACUUGAAGAAAUAUAAACCUAUGCUACAAGAGAUCCAAAUCCGAACAUAACAAGAUUCAUUGAUUCUUUAAAGUGGCCUAAAAGGGCAUUACAAAACAUGGUCGACAAACCUUACAAGAGAAAUAAAAAAACAAAGGAAAAAUUCAAAUGGGGAAUCUAGACUUAAAGUCUUCAAACGAGGUUAUCUCGUGACUGAUCCUAUU
rnacentral:lncRNA from 1 species